rnacentral:rRNA from 1 species
AAUCAACGCUGGCGGCGUGCCUAACACAUGCAAGUCGAACGCGAGAGGGGCUUCGGCCCCGAUUGAGUGGCGAACGGGUGAGUAACGCGUGGGUGACCUACCUUCGAGUGGGGGAUAACGUCCCGAAAGGGACGCUAAUACCGCAUAACAUCCUGCUUUUGAAUGGGUGGAGAUCAAAGCCGGGGAUCGCAAGACCUGGCGCUUGAUGAGGGGCCCGCGUCUGAUUAGCUAGNGGUGAGGUAACGGCCCACCAAGGCAACGAUCAGUAUCCGGCCUGAGAGGGCGGACGGUCACACUGACACUGAAUAACGGGUCAGACUCCUACGGGAGGCAGCAGUCGGGAAUUUGGGCAAUGGGCGAAAGCCUGACCCAGCAACGCCGCGUGAAGGAUGAAAUCUUUCGGGAUGUAAACUU